UACGUAGGGUGCAAGCGUUGUCCGGAAUUAUUGGGCGUAAAGAGCUCGUAGGCGGUCUGUCGCGUCUGCUGUGAAAACCCGGAGCUCAACUCCGGGCCUGCAGUCGAUACGGGCAAACUGGAGUGUUGCAGGGGAGACUGGAAUUCCUGGUGUAGCGGUGAAAUGCGCAGAUAUCAGGAGGAACACCGGUGGCGAAGGCGGGUCUCUGGGCAACAACUGACGCUGAGGAGCGAAAGCGUGGGGAGCGAACAGG
rnacentral:rRNA from 1 species